rnacentral:tRNA from 1 species
CGUAGCUCAGUCGGUAGAGCGCUACCUUGGUAAGGUAGAGGUCUCGGGUUCAAGUCCCGUCG